GUGUUGAAUAAUUGCGAAGAAGUAGAAUCUUUUCUUCAAGAGCAUAAAGAAGAGUUGGUGAAACAAGAUGUUGGGAAUAUAGAAGAGAAACACAGAGAACAAUUUCCUUUAUGGUUUAAAAGGAAAAUUUUGAAAUUAUAUAAUAAGGACAAGUCAAUGUCUAUCAAGAAAUUAUAUCCUUUGGCAAUGGAAUCUGAUGUGCGUGGAAGAAAACAUACUGGCUGUGUUAUAAAUGGUGUUAGGUAUCUUAUUCAACGACGCGAUGAAUUACGUAAAAGUCAGAAUUGUGGUAUAGUUGUUGCAGGCUAUCAUGAAAAUGAGUUGAUUGAUUUUUAUGGUAUUAUAACUGACAUCAUUGAGUUAGAGUAUGUUGAUGAGAAUCGAGUUUUUCUAUUUAAAUGCAAGUGGUUUGAUCUUCGCAAGAAAAUAGGGAUGCAAAAAGAUAAACAUUUUACGAGCAUGUGUUAAAAGAUUUUGGUAUGAACAUGAUUCUUUCGUACUAGCUACUCAAGCAAAACAAGUAUUUUACAUUGAUGACCCAAAAUUGGGGGAAAAUUGGCGAAUUGUGCUCAAAUUUCAAGAUAGACACUUAUAUGAUGUCCCGGAGAAGGAAAAUUCAGAGACAGAAAGUGAUGAGUCGCAUAUUACAAAUAAUGAUGUGUAUCAAGACAUGUCACUUGAAAGUAAUUCAAUUGUCAAUGAUACGUUGGAUAUGUUGAGUAAACUACAUAGAGAUGAUGUUGAACCGAUUACCCUGGAUACAAAUGUAAUUGAAUUGGAGGCUCAAACAGAACCAGAAGUUGAAGUUGAUUAUAUCGAAGAAGAUUCUGACCAAGAGGAUGACACUAUGGUAGAGUACAUAAGUGAUAAUGAGGAGAAUGAAGGUAAUAAUAGUACUAAUGAUGAUGAAGCUGAUAGCACAGGUGAUGGCGACGACAUUGGCUUGUGAUGUAAUCUCAUAAUAGUAAGGUUUAAGGGGUUGAAGUUGGUUACAAUAGUGCAAAGCUUUUCUUCGUUAAAAUAGUGCAAAAGUUUUCUUGCUUAAAACAGUGCAAAGUUCUCUGCCAGUUACAUGGAGUGCAGGCACAAAGAAGUCCCAAAGUGUUUUGUGGUUCAGAUGGUUUGCCUUAUUUUGGGUCCAGGAGUUCUUAUUUUAUACUAGAAUUGGGACAAGACACGUGAGGCUAGUUAAAACUGAAAUUAUGUGAUGAAAUGCUGGGCCUCAAUCAUCCACAUUGUUGACCAUAUUGAUCUUGAUGCUUGCAGUGUUCUCCUCAAGCCACUUUAUGAAACGUCCAAGAUCCUUGCUCAGAAAAUGAUAAUGGCUGUAAGAAAUUUCUUAUAUUUGUGCCUCAGCAACUGGCUAUUUUAAUAAGUCAACUUACCUUAAGAUAUUUGUGCAGGCCUUCCGAUACAUAAGGGAGAUAGCCCAAGAAGCCAAUAGAGAAAUCCAAUAUGCUGGAGGUCGGCAACCUGCUGUGUUGAGGGCAUUUAGUCAGAGAUUAUGCAGGGGAUUCAUAAUGCGGUUAGUGGAUUUAUUGAUGAUGGUUGGACAACUAUGGGUAGUAAUGGUGUGGAGGAUGUAACAAGUGCUGUAAACUCAUCGCCAAGUAAAUUCCUUGAUGCACAAUAGAAGAUCACCAAAAGAUUCAUUCCACUGGAGCUGAAAUCAACUAGAUUAUCACAUGAAAAGCAGGGCCGCUUGAAGAUUGCGGACUUUUGGUGGUCUGUACAAUCAAGAAGCAACAAACAUACAAUGUGCGGAACUCUGGACUAUCUAGCACCAGAAAUGGUGGAGAACAAACCUCAUGAUUAUGCAGUUGA